GACGAACGCUGGCGGCGUGCUUAACACAUGCAAGUCGAGCGGUAAGGCUCCUUCGGGAGUACACGAGCGGCGAACGGGUGAGUAACACGUGAGCAAUCUGCCCUUCACUUUGGGAUAACUCCGGGAAACCGGUGCUAAUACCGAAUACGACCACCGAUGGCAUCAUCUGGUGGUGGAAAGUUCCGGUGGUGAGGGAUGAGCUCGCGGCCUAUCAGCUUGUUGGUGGGGUAAUGGCCCACCAAGGCAACGACGGGUAGCCGGCCUGAGAGGGUGACCGGCCACACUGGGACCGAGACACGGCCCAGACUCCUACGGGAGGCAGCAGUGGGGAAUAUUGGACAAUGGGCGAAAGCCUGAUCCAGCAACGCCGCGUGAGGGAUGACGGCCUCGG
rnacentral:rRNA from 1 species